UACAGAGGGUGCAAGCGUUAAUCGGAUUUACUGGGCGUAAAGGGCGCGUAGGUGGUUUUAUAAGUUGGAUGUGAAAGUCCUGGGCUUAACCUAGGAAUUGCAUGCGAGACUGUAGGACUAGAGUACUGUAGAGGGUAGUGGAAUUUCCGGUGUAGCGGUGAAAUGCGUAGAGAUCGGAAGGAACACCAGUGGCGAAGGCGGCUACCUGGACAGAUACUGACACUGAGGCGCGAGAGCGUGGGGAGCAAACAGG
rnacentral:rRNA from 1 species